rnacentral:lncRNA from 1 species
AUCAGCAAUGCGUACUCUGGCAAUGCUUGUUCCAAUCCUUGGGACGACCUGGAUUUUUGGUAUUGUGGCGUUCGCUCAUGAUUCUAUAAUUUUUCAAUAUAUUUUUGCUGUAUGUAAUGCAUUUCAGGUGAGUUUAUGACAUGUGAUAGUUUAUGGUAGAGUUGCUGGGCGAUAUUUGAAAAAGACUUUUUAUUUUCUGGUUUUACAGGGCUUUUUCAUAUUCAUUCUUUACUGUUUAUUUAACACGGAGGUAUGUUUUUCUUUUUAUCUACCCCCAUACAAUUGACCAUUUGCGUAGUAGACUAAAUUUUGAUCUCAACAAAAAUUUCAUUACAGCUUGAAAGAGCAUCACAAAAUUAGUAAUAUUCCAAAGUUUCGUUGUAAAAUGUUGUAAAAUGCGGAAAAUAUAGCCUUGCGAAAUUUGCAAUUUUCAGUCAUUUUAGAUUACAAACCGGAAAUUGACAGCCUCGAAGGGUUUGGGGCUGUCAAUUUCCCGUUUGUAAUCUAAAAUGACUGAAAAUUGCAAACUUCGCAAGGCUAUAUUUUCCGCAUUUUUACAACAUUUUGCAACGAAACUUUGGAAUAUUACUAAUUUUGCGAUGCUCCUUCAAGCUGUAAUGAAAUUUUUGUCUAGACUUGUUUAGUUCAAAAUUUAGUCUUAUUACGCAAAUGGUCAAUUGGUUAGACUAAUUUUUUUUGAAAAGCAGUUUUUACCCAUGCUUGACUAUGAUCGCCCUUUAUAGGUACGUCAUGAGUAUCAGAGAAAACGGAAGGCGUGGAAAACCGAGAGGGAAUUGGAUUCUAAACGAUCACCACAGAAUAAUUCAUUCGAUUUAUGAGCAUAACAACAGAAAAUGUAAAUUGAUAUGGCGGACGAAAGUAGCCGAAUUGGAGGGCACAGAAUUAUUCUUAUGAUGGCGACAUUGGCUGUGAAUCAGUAGCAACGGACAUAAACUUUCGUAAUAGCUGACGAUCCUCGAAUGGUCAAUUUUGUUGGGCCAGAACAUGUUGUGAACGAAUUUACAAAUAAGGGAUUUUAGGGACAGAUAAGGACUUUUGAAUACAUUUUAACAAAGUUUCCUUUAUGUCCAUAAUUCACACUGCUAUCCAUCUACAAUCACUUUCAAAAGUUUUUGGGACACUUGCGUUUAUAUAGAUCAUUAUUCCAUCAAUGCAACUUAUUAUAGACAUGUGUAUCACCCGGCCCUAUAUCCCCAAUCAAUGUUGCUUUCCCAAUCCAGACACUAUAUAUAGCUCAUCAAAAUAAGGUGACACCUGGGACACAACAUUAAAUAAGGUCGCGGAGGACCGAAAUUUGUUGAAAUUAUAGGUUUUUGGGGGAUAUCAGAUAUCUGUCCCAACACAUUGAAAAUGAUUGCAUAUGAUAUACAUUUAUCUAUCCAGCAUUCCAGCUGUGUACUGGCUUUUCCGUCGCAAAGUGUAUAUAUACCGUAUUAUUCUGAUUGUGUCUUGGUUUGCGAAAUGCUUAAAGAGUGCUUGAUAUCAUAUAGCUAUAGAGGAAAUUGUAUAGUUUCGCUUAUCGUAACCCUGUAGCCAUCAGACGGCUUCUAAAUAUUUCUUUAGUAUAGAUGUAAAACUCAGUAAUUCAUGAAGAAAAUUCAGAAUAAACAAUGUUUAAUGAGGUGUUGUAUGCACAUAUUAAAUUAUCCUGAUUUGCGUCAACCUUUCCCUCGAUUUUCACAGUUAAAAUCACAACUGCCGAAAUUCGUUCUUUUCACAAACUAUAUACUUAUACAGCAGCAGUCGGGUCCGUGUUUUGUAUAUUAACUGCAUGCUGUUAUUGCUGUAUAAUGGUAAUACUGGUUAUAUAGUCGUGGCAACCUUGAAAUAAGC